rfam:Salmo salar isolate Sally breed double haploid chromosome ssa04, whole genome shotgun sequence.
UGCAAUCACUACUGUAAGUCACUCUGGAUAAGAGUGUCUGCUACAUGACCGAUA